ensembl:lncRNA
AUGUAUAUAUAUGUGUAUAUAUGUAUAUAUAAUUUUAUUUUUUAAAUACAUGAAGAUGAUUAAAUAGCUGUUAAUAAUUUUAAAGGGUAUUUUUUAUUGGGAUACUUACUGCACAUUUGCUGUCCCUGUUUAUUAUUAUUUAUUUAUUUUUAAAUUGCUUUUAUUUGUCCUCAUUUCAAAGUCACUUUAGAUAGUUGUUUGCUAAAUGGAUCAAUAUAUUGUAGUAAAUGAAUCUCUCCCGCCUUCUACUGGUGAUAGGAGGAACUCCAACUUAUUUUUUCUUUUGUAAGUACUUUAGAUAAUUUGUUUACAGACAAUAUGAGCACUGUUUCCGUUUAUUAAUUUAGUAGACACUUUUAUCCCAAAUGACUUCAAAUGAGAAUACAAGAACAUGCAUUUAAGCCACAAGAUGAUUAAUCUGAGAAACUAAAACUUGAUGUAAAAACAGUUUGUAAUCUCUGGCACCUUUCUUCACUUCAAGUGUGGCUGUCCAGCUCAGAGAAAAUGGCACUGUCACAGAGGCUUUCGAGGAGGUCAUAGAGGUUCCCGUGGGGACCAAACUGUCCCGUCAAGAUGGAGAUGGAGAGGAGGUGGAAAAUGAAGAAGAGGAGAAGAGAAAGGUUCCCUUAUUGGCUUUCAGAGAGAAUGGCAGCAUGCAUAAUAGCAUAAAGCACUGGGUUUAAGCCGCAAUGGGAAAAAGCCAACAGCCGGCAAGUGUAAAAUGCAUAAUCAAGAUGAAUGGAUACAUUACACUCUAGAAAUGAAGACAAACCAUAAUCCUGCA